AUACGGAGGGUGCGAGCGUUGUUCGGAAUUAUUGGGCGUAAAGAGCAUGUAGGCGGUCUGUUAAGUCUGGUGCGAAAGCCCGGGGCUCAACCCCGGAAGUGCAUUGGAUACUGGCAGACUUGAGUAUGGGAGAGGAAAGCGGAAUUCCGAGUGUAGAAGUGAAAUCCGUAGAUAUUCGGAGGAACACCAGUGGCGAAGGCGGCUUUCUGGACCAAUACUGACGCUGAGAUGCGAAAGCGUGGGGAGCAAACAGGAUUAGAUACCCUAGUAGUCC
rnacentral:rRNA from 1 species